GGUGGUAAAUUUCAUCUAAAGCUAAAUACAGGCUCGAGACCGAUAGCAAACAAGUACCAUGAGGGAAAGAUGAAAAGGACUUUGAAAAGAGAGUUAAAAGUGUUUGAAAUCGCUGAACUGGAAGCGAAUGGAACUAGUGCUCUGGCUGAGAUUGUUGCAAGCAAAUUGUUUGCAAUGUGUCUCAGCUUGAACAUCAAAGUCUAUGCAUGCAUGAGGAUGGCCUUAGGCUCAUGCUAUCUAGCUGUGGCUUGAUUCUUGUGCCUUUAGGGAUUCAAGUAUGUGCAGCACUUUGAUCAAUUAGUUCCAUUCGACCCGUCUUGAAACACGGACCAAGGAGUCUAGCACUUGUGCAAGUUCUCAGGUGUCAAACCU
rnacentral:rRNA from 1 species